UGCUGUGUAUAUUUGAACGGCUACCGUAUUGGAAAAUAAACCAAUUGCCUUGUGCAUUCGUUAGAUUCGAGAUACGAUGUUCGUGCGGGUGUGUGUGAAUAUAUAUCUGGGAUUGUACGAGGACGUGCAAACAUUUCCAGCCAAACUGACACACGGAGUACGUCAGAUGAUAAUAUUUUUCCAAAUGUCGAUGGUGUGCUACAAGUAAAUGGUAUGCAUGUGGGAAAUGCGCUGAGCUCUUAGAGAAGGAAACGUGAUAAGGACGUCAAGGAUUAGUCCUCUAUAACAACGUCCAUCUAUCGAAUUCUGGUCGAAAGCAAAGCGGAUUGAAGGUGUUAAAUGGGCAUGAAACAGCUGCAAUGCGGAGGACGACGACGCUGACGACGAAAAAGGACAACGACAACAACUCGCAGGACAAUCACCAAAUAAAUACAAACAACAUGAGCAUUGGGAGUUUUUCCCCAUCUACAUCGCCAUCGCCAUCCCCAAUCCGCUUCCUGUUGGCCUGCCGAAAAAGCUCAAAGGACGAAAACAAAAUUCCCAAUUGUUAAUGCAUGUUGGGAUAGGGGACAUCGAUUGGGAAUGUCGACUCUGGGCAUAUGUAAAUACCAAUUUACGCUACGGAAAUGUCAACAGCCACGAUUACAACAACCAUGGGGUUUCGGCUGCCCUUUAACCCUUUGAGAAUACUCCGCCCAUUUUUUUUUUCGAAGGUGUGCUGCCUGCUUAGUCGCUGUUCAGUGUUUGCUUUUAAUUUAGUACCGUCGCAUAUUAAUUUUCCCAUCGAUCGGGAAUAUAUAGACGCACCUUGACGGACAGACAGACACCCCCCUUGGAGUGACCCAAAUACGACUAAUUGGCCAUGACGUAAUUAGUCAUCUAUUUAAUUGUGCAUUGAAAAACCUUUUACGGGGUUGAUUUCCCAGGAUUUUGCUUUGUUAUGGUUUGGUUUUGGUCAGGGGUUUUUCAAAUUUCGCAUGGGAAAUAUUAU
ensembl:ncRNA lncRNA:CR46197 long non-coding RNA:CR46197